rnacentral:rRNA from 1 species
GACGGACGCUGGCGGCGUGCUUAACACAUGCAAGUCGAACGGAAAGGCCCUGCUUUUGUGGGGUGCUCGAGUGGCGAACGGGUGAGUAACACGUGAGUAACCUGCCCUUGACUUUGGGAUAACUUCAGGAAACUGGGGCUAAUACCGGAUAGGAGCUCCUGCUGCAUGGUGGGGGUUGGAAAGUUUCGGCGGUUGGGGAUGGACUCGCGGCUUAUCAGCUUGUUGGUGGGGUAGUGGCUUACCAAGGCUUUGACGGGUAGCCGGCCUGAGAGGGUGACCGGCCACAUUGGGACUGAGAUACGGCCCAGACUCCUACGGGAGGCAGCAGUGGGGAAUAUUGCACAAUGGGCGGAAGCCUGAUGCAGCAACGCCGCGUGCGGGAUGACGGCCUUCGGGUUGUAAACCGCUUUCGCCUGUGACGAAGCGUGAGUGACGGAAAUGGGUAAAGAAGCACCGGCUAACUACGUG